AUUGAACGCUGGCGGCAUGCCUUACACAUGCAAGUCGAACGGCAGCGCGGGGCAACCUGGCGGCGAGUGGCGAACGGGUGAGUAAUAUAUCGGGAACAUACCCUAGAGUGGGGGAUAACGUAGCGAAAGUUACGCUAAUACCGCAUACGCACUAAGGUGGAAAGUGGGGGAUCUUCGGACCUCAUGCUCAUGGAGUGGCCGAUAUCUGAUUAGCUAGUUGGUGAGGUAAAGGCUCACCAAGGCGACGAUCAGUAGCUGGUUUGAGCGAACGACCAGCCACACUGGAACUGAGACACGGGUCCAGACUCCUACGGAGGCAGCAGUGGGGAAUUUUGGACAAUGGGGGCAACCCUGAUCCAGCAAUGCCGCGUGAGUGAAGAAGGGCCUGGGUUGUAAGACGUCUUUGUC
rnacentral:rRNA from 1 species